GAUGAACGCUGGCGGCGUGCCUAAUACAUGCAAGUCGAGCGAACAGAUCAGGAUCUUUCUCCUCUGACGUUAGCGGCGGACGGGUUGUUAACACUUGGAUAACCUACCUAUAAGACUGUGAUAACUUCGGGAAAUCUGAGCUAAUACCGGAUAAUUUAUUGAACCUCAUGGUUCACUCGUGAAAUACGGUUUUUCUUUCACUUAUAGAUCGAUCCGCGCCGCAUUAGCUAGUUGGCUAGGUACCUGCUUACCAAGGCAGCGAUGCGUACCCGACCUGAGAGGGUGAUCGGGAAGACGGGAAGUGAGAAAGAGUACAGACACCUACGGGAGGCAGCAGUAGGGAAUCUUCCGCAAUGGAAGAAAGCCGGACGGAGCAAAACGGCGUGAGUGAUGAAGGUCUUAGGAUCGGAAAACUCUGAUAUUAGGGAAGAACAAAUAUGUAAGUAACUAUGAACGUAAUGACGGUACCUAAUCAGAAAGCCACGGCUAACUACGUG
rnacentral:rRNA from 1 species